rfam:Beggiatoa sp. 4572_84 ex4572_84_scaffold_16045, whole genome shotgun sequence.
AGUAACCGUCCAUAAAUAACUUAGGCAACUAAGUAUUUUAAGGUUACUUAGCAAAAGUUCUUCGGAACUACGUUAGGGGCGAAAUUAGGCACUCUUGCGAUGCAUCGUAAGGAAGAGACUCUGCGGAAAGUCAUUAAACAAGUCUGAUGGAAAGGCUAGUGUGGCUUUCAUUUAAAACCGCUUUCUAACAUUAGCUAGGAGACCAUUAC